AUUGAACGCUGGCGGCAUGCCUUACACAUGCAAGUCGAACGGCAGCACGGGUGCUUGCACCUGGUGGCGAGUGGCGAACGGGUGAGUAAUACAUCGGCACGUACCUUAUCGUGGGGGAUAACGCAGCGAAAGCUGUGCUAAUACCGCAUACGCCCUGAGGGGGAAAGCGGGGGAUCGCAAGACCUCGCGCGAUUAGAGCGGCCGAUGCCUGAUUAGCUUGUUGGUGGGGUAAAAGCCCACCAAGGCGACGAUCAGUAGCUGGUCUGAGAGGACGAUCAGCCACACUGGGACUGAGACACGGCCCAGACUCCUACGGGAGGCAGCAGUAGGGAAUUUUGGACAAUGGGGGCAACCCUGAUCCAGCAAUGCCGCGUGAGUGAAGAAGGCCUUCGGGUUGUAAAGCUCUUUUGUCAGGGAAGAAACACCGGCUCUAACACAGUCCGGGAAUGACGGUACCUGAAGAAUAAGCACCGGCUAACUACGUGCCAGCCGCCGCAGUAA
rnacentral:rRNA from 1 species